rnacentral:lncRNA from 1 species
CUCCGCUGAGCUUUCCUUCAACCCCGCUCAACUCCCGUCCUUCCUUCCCUCCCUACAAAUCUGGUCUGCUGGCCGCUGUUCGCCGCGGCCGCCGGGUCUCUCGCGCUCGCGCAACUGCCUCAAAACCCUAGCCACCCCUCGCGACCCAGUCGAUUGGAUCGCCCGCUUCCUCCUCAUCCUCCACCCACACCCAAGGUGCGUCGGCUGCCGUAUUCUCCUCGCCCUCCCUACCUGCUUCCAUAUGUAUAUCUAUGUAUGUCGUUUGCCUUCACCGUCGUUGCCGGGAUGCCCGUGCUCGCGUCUGUUAUCGUCGCCGAUGCGCGCCGGGAUUUCCUGCCCGCUUUCCGCCCUUGGUUUUGCGCCGAUUCGUGCCAGAUUCACGGCUCUCUGAAACCUGUUUUUUUUCUUCUAGAUAUCUCCAUCUCUGACUGCGUGCGUGUUUCUUCUUUUCAUGGUUCUUGUGAUUGUGUGAUGUGCAGACAAAGUCAUGGCAGGCCUGUUUGUUGGUUUUCCUCUGAGAUGAGAAAUCUUUGGCGGCUUUCAUUUAUGCGCGCUUUCCUUUCCUUUCCUUUCCUUUAGCAUGCAGCCUUUUGCGCCCCCUUUUUUGGUGCUUUCUGUUCGGGGUGAGCAAUCUGGUGAUACAAACGGCCGCCGCCGGAAUUUGUUUCUUUACUCCUUUUUAUCAUACCAGGUCGUUGCAGAUUAUGGCUCCCGAUUUCUAGUUUUUCGUGGGCCAUUCCUCAGAUUUGUCUUCUCUGUUUCGGUUGCCCUUGUUAAUUCGAUGACGGACACGGAAGAUCAUUUCAGUGGAUCUUUGUAUCACCUGUCACUGUUCCUGCUUCGUUAAAUUAUGGCUGGGUUGAUGUACAGAACUUUAGAUUCUUGCGAAUGCUAAUUACAGAAUUAGAGUUUUUUUUUGCGGGGAAGAAAACUACAGAAUUAGAGUUAUAAUAAUGAAUGUCUUAUCGCUUAGCAAAGUGAUCGAUUGCUCUGUUUUCUCCCUUCAGGGGUAUUAUACAUUUCCAUUUCUCAACUUUUCGGG